rnacentral:rRNA from 1 species
ACGCUCGACACCUACGGGGCAGCAGUAGGGAAUCUUCCACAAUGGGCGCAAGCCUGAUGGAGCAACACCGCGUGAGUGAAGAAGGGUUUCGGCUCGUAAAGCUCUGUUGUUGGAGAAGAACGUGCGUGAGAGUAACUGUUCACGCAGUGACGGUAUCCAACCAGAAAGUCACGGCUAACUACGCGCCAGCAGCCGCGGUAAUCUGAGCGGGCUGGCAAGGC